UUGAAAUAAACCUGAUGGGUUGCUGCUGGCUCUCUAGGGAGCAUGUGCACACUUGUCAUCUUUAUAUCUCCACCUGUGCACCUUUUGUAGACCUGGAUAUCUCUCUGAGUGCUUUAGCACUUCAGGUUUGAGGAUUGACUUUAUUGUUCUCUCUUUAUAUUUCUAGGUCUAUGUUUUUCAUAUACCCUAUUGUAUGUUAUAGAAUGUAGUCAAUAGGCCUUUGUGCCUAUAUACCUAUACAACUUUCAGCAACGGAUCUCUUGGCUCUCGCAUCGAUGAAGAACGCAGCGAAAUGCGUUAAGUAAUGUGAAUUGCAGAAUUCAGUGAAUCAUCGAAUCUUUGAACGCACCUUGCGCUCCUUGGUAUUCCGAGGAGCAUGCCUGUUUGAGUGUCAUUAAUAUAUCAACCUCUUCAACUUUUGUUGAUUGUUGGAUGUGGGGGUAUUCUUUUUUGCUGGUCUCUCUCUGAGUUCAGCUCCCCUGAAAUACAUUAGCGGAACAAUUUGUUCAUUGGCAUGAUAAUUAUCUAUGCUACUGACAUGAAGCAGUUCAGCUUAUAACAG
rnacentral:rRNA from 1 species